AAUUAUUUAACUUAUAAUAAAGUAUAUGAUUUGAAAUCAUAAAAAAGAUUUAAUAUUCUAAUAAUUU
rnacentral:tRNA from 1 species